AGUGAACGCUGGCGGUAGGCCUAACACAUGCAAGUCGAACGGCAGCACAGUAAGAGCUUGCUCUUACGGGUGGCGAGUGGCGGACGGGUGAGGAAUACAUCGGAAUCUACUUUUUCGUGGGGGAUAACGUAGGGAAACUUGCGCUAAUACCGCAUACGACCUACGGGUGAAAGCAGGGGAUCUUCGGACCUUGCGCGAUUGAAUGAGCCGAUGUCGGAUUAGCUAGUUGGCGGGGUAAAGGCCCACCAAGGCGACGAUCCGUAGCUGGUCUGAGAGGAUGAUCAGCCACACUGGAACUGAGACACGGUCCAGACUCCUACGGGAGGCAGCAGUGGGGAACAUUGGACAAUGGGCGCAAGCCUGAUCCAGCCAUACCGCGUGGGUGAAGAAGGCCUUCGGGUUGUAAAGCCCUUUUGUUGGGAAAGAAAAGCAGCAGGUUAAUACCCCGCUGUUCUGACGGUACCCAAAGAAUAAGCACCGGCUAACUUCGUG
rnacentral:rRNA from 1 species